CGAGAACAGAAAUCUCGUG
rnacentral:snRNA from 1 species